ensembl:snRNA U2 U2 spliceosomal RNA
UUAGCUUCUCGGCCUUUUGGCUAAGAUCAAGUGUAGUAGUGUAGUUAGAGAACUCUCAUGUUUGUUCCAUUUGGGAACACAAAGGUUAUUUUUGCAAAAGCCAAAUGCUUUCUCCUUAUUCUGUGUUUUUCUCUCUGCUUAAAGUAGGUAUGGGCAACUGCAU